GAUGAACGCUAGCGGCAGGCCUAAUACAUGCAAGUCGAACGGUAACAUGAAUAGCAAUAUUUGAUGACGAGUGGCGCACGGGUGCGUAACGCGUAUGCAAUCUACCUUCAACUAGUGAAUAGCCCGAAGAAAUUCGGAUUAAUACACCAUAGUAUAAUUGAGUGGCAUCACUUAAUUAUUAAAACUCCGGUGGUUGAAGAUGAGCAUGCGUGACAUUAGCUAGUUGGUGAGGUAACGGCUCACCAAGGCAACGAUGUCUAGGGGAUCUGAGAGGAUUAACCCCCACACUGGUACUGAGACACGGACCAGACUCCUACGGGAGGCAGCAGUAAGGAAUAUUGGACAAUGGUCGCAAGACUGAUCCAGCCAUGCCGCGUGCAGGAUGACGGCCCUAUGGGUUGUAAACUGCUUUUGUGCGAGAAAAAACCCCUCUACGUGUAGAGGGCUGAUUGUAUCGUAAGAAUAAGGAUCGGCUAACUCCGUGCCAGCCGCCGCGGUAAUAC
rnacentral:rRNA from 1 species